GUUGCGCGACAGCGCGGGGGAAGGGGUUGUCGCGGCGGAGCGGUCGCGGGGAGAGGAUUGGGCCCUGCUGCACCCGGUUGGGUGUUGCUUAGCAACAGUGCGCGGGCGCGGCCUAGGCGCCAGGAAAUGGUGCAGGGCAACUUCACCGUUCUUCAUUAAAAAAAAAAAAGCGGUGGAUUUCUGUGCGCAGAUAUAAGGCAAAGUGCCCUCCUUUGGAAAGGUGAACCAGCACUACAGCAUGUUGUGCAAACAAGGACAGUUCAGGAUAUUCAUCUUGACUUAAGCCCCUAUUCCUAACUGACAGAUCCUUCCUGGUGAUCCGGCAGGUGGCACUCUUCUCCUGGUACUGAAUCAACAGCUCAGCAUGCA